GGACACUGAAGAACCUUUGGAAUACAUGGAAAAGAUUGUCAGCAAGGGAGUUGUGAGGAUGCAUGCUCCAUAGUGUUCUUGAUUUAGCUGUAUCCUUGCCACCAGCAAUAAAUACAAAGCCCCUGAGACCCAUGCUUCUCUGAUAAAAAGCCUCUGUGAACAGCUCACAGCAGCAUCCCUUUAUAUUCCUGUGUCUGGACAUUGUUGAACAACUCCACGGGGGCUGAGCCUGAGAGCUGCCUCCAAGAGGAUGGGCUUCCAUGAGAUGAAUCCAUUUCACUGGGAUCUGAUGGGCACGGCUUGGUGGACAUCUAAGUGCAGAGGGAAAGGACAGAAUAUACUCAGCUGUAUACUUGAUCCACAGGACAUCAGAAAGGAAUGCUCCUAUCCUCCUGUCAGCAUCCUCUGUGCUGGCUGCCUACAGAUGUCGGCCAUCUGCCUGUCACAUGCGCACAGUGAAUGGGAGGCUGCAGCCACAGUGCCCUGAAUUCGGCAGCCCUGCUGCUGCCAGCAGAAAGCUGCAAGCAGUGAGUACAUGUGGAGAGCUCCAAGCCCCAAAACUG
ensembl:lncRNA